AGUUUUGGAAGACUGAAAUUGACGAGCUGAAAAGAUCAACAGAGAACUUGGAAGUGAAUUUGAGGCACUUAUCAGGUGAAGAUCUAGCGAUGUUGGGCAUGAAAGAGUUGAAACAGCUAGAGCGGCAGCUCAAGACCGGCGUUGAACGCAUCCGCUGCAAGAAGAGAAGGAUCGUCUCGGAGCACAUCAAUUUCCUGAAAAAAAGG